GUUUAAUCACAUUUAUUGAUCAGUCAGAUCGACUAUUGAUGCUUUCUAAACACAUCUGUGCUUCAACAUUUGGGAAAGAGACUUUUUAUGAGAGGAUUCUUAGACUUGACCUUAAAAAUCAAUAAUUGUAUCCAUCUGUCUGAGUAAUAUUUAAAAACCUCAUGAGAAACAGAACACCAAGAAUGUGCUGGCAUCAACAUUAGACAGCUUAUGAACUGUGUCUGUCCAUCAUGUGAAGGUUUGUGGGCAGACAUGAUGUCUCUCUUUUUAGGAAACAAAUCACUCAGUUGUGGGUAUAUUACCUUGGUCUUCUUUAACUUCUUCCUCUGUGCCAUAAACCUUCAUUAUUUCUGUCCAACAACUAUUAAAAACACAUCAAUGAGUCACUUUUUGUUUAGAAAUGGCCCCAAAACUAUAAUAAUGGUGACCACGUUGUCAGUUUGCUGAAGGUUCACACUGAAAGCAUGCAGUUCUGUUUACAGCACUUUGCAUUGUAAUAACGAUUAUUUAGAAAAUAACAAUGUAAUCAAAAGUCAUGAGAAAUAAUCAUAGUUUAAUGCAUAUUAAAUGAUGUCUGCAGGGUGAAAUCUUGAUCGCUGGUUAUUAUUCGGGAAUUUCCGUCAUCAUUUACGUCUACCAUCGUCACGCACUGCGUCUUACUGGUAGACACUGUCUCCCUUUGAGUUAGUAGAAGACAGUGAGUCUGCUCCUUUUCGGGGGAAAACAGGAAGCCCCCUGCUAGCGUUUCAAUAGCAACUGAGGUCAGAUACAUGUUUUCCUGUCACUUUGAGGUAACUGGAGUCAGAGGAUGGACAUGGUAAACCCUGCGGGAUGCAGGACAAAGGCCCUGAGUUGUGUCUAAGCCCUGUUUUGUCUUCAGACCCGUGUUUGAUCUGCCCACAUUUGUACAUGGUUCAACCUGUUGCAUUAUCUCUGUGGUUUAAGACGAUUCCCGGAGGACAGAAACUUCCGAAUCGGAGGGAGCAUCGGAGCAGAACAUGUACUGAUUAUUUAUUCACUUCUCCCUGAUCAAGCUAAUAAGCCAAUACAUCCUGGUCUCCUGUGUACUCUCUCCACUGACAUCUGGGCUGCAUAUUUAAAAAUCAACAGUUAUUACUCAAGUUUUUGAACAUUGAAAGAGGUUUAGCGCACAGAAUUUUGUCAGAUUUGUCAGAUUUUGGAUGCACACAUGAUACAGAUUAAUCAUUUGAGAUUAAAGAUGUUUCCCAGAAUCAAACGUGGUUUUGUUACAACUCAGUGGUGGUGGGCCAAUCACAGGUCACAUUAACCCUCACAUACUGUUCAUAUUCUGAGCUGUCACUGUAUUUUCCUCACAUAAUUUGUCUCUUUACCGAACCAUCCAAAGCACAAUCAUCAUUCAUAAAGACCUCAACAGUCACAGAUAUACAUGAUUUAUCUUAAAUGAAGCUUUCACAGAGCAGAGAGUUUAUUUCUUUCCUUUCCUCCCUUCCUUCUUUCCUUCCUUCCUUCCCUCCUUCCUCCCUCCUUUCCUUCCUUCUUCCUUCCUCCUUUCCGUCCUUCCUCCCUCCUUCUUCUUCCCUUCCUUCCUUCCUUCCUUCCUUCCUCCCUCCUUCCCUUCCUUCUUCCUCCAUUACUUCCUCCUUUCCUUCCUUCUUCCUCCCUUCCUUCCUUGACUCAAGGACAACAGGAGGGUUAAGAAAAAACCACUGCCGCUGUGAGACCAUAAACACAUUUUGAAAACGUUUACUGAGGUUAGAAGUCAAGUGAGAAGUUGGUGAAUUCUCCAUUGACUUGUAUAGAGACGGAAGUCCUUUUGACACCAAAACGGUCGCCCCCUGGUGGCCUUUGAUAGAAUGCAGUUUUAAGUUACUUCCACGUUGGCCUCAUUUCAGAGGACCGGAGCUCCCCGCCUGGGAAGCUUACAGGGAAUCCGCUAUGAGACCGAGGCAACGAAGGAGAGGAGAGGGUUGGAUAAUAUUUAUAGGCAUGCCGCUGUUGUUGCAGGUGAGGCGUGGUCCCGCUCCUAAAAGUUUCGCUAAAUAAGCUUGAAAAAAAUUGAUUCCAGUCAUGCAAAGUUUUACAUUUCUCUACAGCUUUUAUUUUUGAAAGACUACAGGAAUAAACAUGGCUUCAUCUACAGCUUGGCAAGCUCUUUUUAUGGGUCAUUCUAUUGACUUUGUAUUGACGAUUUUCUCUACACUACGAAUGACCUUUUAUAGCUAGCUAGCUUAACUCAUCAGUGUAAUGUUAGGAAAGUAAAUACUAAACAUCAAAAUACACGUUCUGACUGCUGCAGGGACCCAAAUAAAAAGGUGGUAAAUAGGUGUCUUUGUGAUCAUUUGACACUUAAAAUAGUGUGGUUUGGCUAUUGACGUUGAUUUAACUUUUUUUUUUUUACAGUCUAGAAACACUGAGAUUCUGCAGAACACAGCAGGAUCACCUUGGAAGUGUCAAACCUUAAUAAUAUAAAUGUCCAGUAAUCAUCAUGUCUUGCAGAGCUACUUCAGUGUUUGGUCUACCAGACUUACCACAGUUGAGCAUGUGCGUAGAUUUGCAUUUGCAUCCAAACGGGUCAUUAUGUUAGAAACUUUUUAGGAAUUAUAAUAACCAUCAAUUUCACUUAGAAAUGCUGUAAGUAGUUGGGAUGAUGUGACUUAAUUGUGGAUUUAAAGGUGGACAUGCUGCACAAAAAGUGGGUGAGUAAAAUCUUUAAAAAACUAUCAUCAUUUUCCUUUAAGGUGGUCUUGUCACACCCUUAAUAAAUGAAUGAUCCAUUUCUACCGUAUUACAGUAACGCAGGGACAAAUAUGUUACAAUGGAUUAAUAUUGUUACACUAGGUGCUAUUAAUGUUAUCAUUCUGCUACGCAAUAAAUACGACAAAUCGUAUAUAAAAAUAUACACCUAGACAAUCGGCUGGGAUAAAGUGGAAGGAAAGGGGAUGUGGGAAUAGAGAGACAGUGAUGGGUGUGUUUUAUGUUAAUGUCCGUGUGUGCACAAGGGGCAAGAUUUGUGUUUUGUUUAUUUUAAUGGUUGUCUGUUUUAUGUCUGGAGUUUUUCAUGGAUAUUAUAUUGAACAUGUUUUCUAAUCAGUCCACCCUCACUUGUCUUCCUUUUUUGCUGGAAACUUAGCGGUCCAUAACAAACAGAAGAAGUUGUUCCAGACUUCCAACCUAACAAAAGGUUUCUAUCGUCAUAACACAUGUUUUUAAUGCAGCGGUGUUCCUCUCUUUCUCGACUGCAUGGUAAGAACAUUUACGGGAAAAACUCAUGAUCCACAUCCACAUCCUGGUGUACUCAUUACUCAUUAUCUCAUUUAUGUUGCAUGUUGCUUUAAGAAUAGUUCGACAUUUUGAAGGAGAAAAAAAAAGCAUAGAUAAGAAGACAGAUAACAGCCUGGAAACACAGAGACCCAGAGAUGUGUGUGUGUGUGUGUGUGUGUGUGUGUGUGUGUGUGUGUGUGU